AGGCAGUUUGUGACCAUAAGUACAUGUUCACAGAUAUCAUGGUAGGAUGGCCAGGACGCUGCCACGAUGCCCGGGUGCUGGCAAACUCUUCUUUUCACCGAAGAGCGGAAAAUGGAGAACUGCUUCCAAAUAUGACAAGAAACAUCAAUGGCCAAGAUGUUCCGCUGAUGAUACUUGGGGACCCUGCCUACCCACUGCUGCCAUGGCUAAUGAAAGGUUUUGCCGAUAAUGGUCGUCUGACUGAAGAUCAGACUAACUUUAACUACAGGCUCAGCAGGGCGAGAAUGGUCAUCGAAGGUAGUUUUGGUAGACUGAAGGGGCGAUGGAGAUGCUUAUUGAAGCGCAAUGACAGCGCUCUUGAGAACGUAACUAAUAUUGUUGGAGCGUGUUGUACCUUGCAUAACCUUUGUCAGAUGCAGUCCGAUGAGCCAGAUGACGAGUGGCUUGAUGUUGCUCAUGAAUUACGAGAGUUUCAGCCACCUUGUCCUUUGCCAAAUCAAAGGCCUGCACCAUCAGCAUCUGUAGUGCGUGAUGCUCUUGUUCAGUAUGUUAGGUAACUUUUUUUAUGCAUUUCUUCAACCACUGUUAAUGAUAUUCCACAGGUGUAAACAGAGCCUCAAAUGAACUCAUUCAUUCGGUUAGUCAAUGACCCCCCCCCCCCCCCCCCCAACCCCCGCCCUCAUGAUUGAAAAUGUUAUGUAGCCUCUGUUUUGUAAUGUAAAACAGUUAUCAAGAAUAGAGUUUUCUCUCUUGGACAUUUCUCUUUGUUUUUCCUUUUUAAUUAUUAAUUUAUGUUAAUCAUUCAUAAUAGACUAUUGAGAAAAUGCAAAUCUGUUAUUUUUUUAUAAUCCAUUUUAAAGUAGAUGGUUGGCCUUUUUGUAAUGAAUAAUCUUUUUUUUUUUUAAUAAUAUGCUUUUAUUUCACCAAGUCAUUUGUUUCAUAUUUUACUAUACAGAGUGAUGAAAAAGUAGUAAAUUUAAGGUAGGCCUAUGGCAGAUAAGAUUAUCAGGGCCAGAAGAUUGUCAAUUAAUUAGAAUGAUUUUUUUUUCUUCUUUGUAUCAGUCUCUUUCCCAAUCCAUGGAUACAGUAAGACUGGGUUUAUGUUAUUGUCAACCAUAGCUGGGGGCUUUAGGUAUGCAUAGCAGAGGUUAAUGUAUGCACUGACAUAGCAAUGCAUCUGACCAGUAGCAUAGCACACUGCAAUCUUCUUUUCAUCUUGUGUUUCUUCCCUGUUAUGACUGACAUAAGUUUAAGUGUUUUAAAACCGAAUAUUCAAAUUCAAAUUCAUUUGCCUAUAUGAUCUACAAGUGAUGAACACAUUUUAACCAUCUUAUCCUGUGCCCAUUCAAAAGCCAGUUUUGUGUUAUGUUAUUUCAUUUGAGGUAAAAUGCAGUUGUAUUGUUAUUUUUUCAAGCAAAUAUAGUGCCAGAAGCAUUAUUUUUUUUCUUGUUGUCCAUGUGACUUUCUUGCUAUUUCAUCAAUGCGAUAAUUUAUAUCAAUCAUUAAUCUUAAAAGAUGCACUUUAAACUUGACACCAGCAUGCCUCAUCAUGGGAAGAUGAAUUAAUUUUGUUUAGGGUUAUGUAGGUCAAAGGACACAGAGGUUAAUACACAUGAAACAUUACCUAUUUGUAGUUCUUUUAUCAUAAUAUCUUGUACUAUUUGCUUCUUGUAUUCAAUGUGCUAACAAGUAUUCAUUUGGAGAGGAAUUUCAAACAAAGGUUACAGAGGUAAAUGUAUAAUGUAUAUAAAACAAUACCAGAUAAACAUGAUUUAUCUUCAAACCCAUGUGGAUAAGUAGUAAUUGCUUGGGGGCAGGCGCAAGUGGUCAUUAUCUCUUUAGCUAUGUGAUUAUAUUGGAUUGUAUUCAACCACUAUGAAAUAGCUGUUUUGUACAUAUAUGUCGUUUUUUCUUCUCUAACCACUUUUAGUUCAAAAUUGUUAGGUAUUUUCUGUGUAUAUGUUAAAUACAACAUGCCUCCGAUAAUGAAUAAAAAGAAGAAAAAACAUCAAGAA